UUGACGCGAAGGUGUAGGGUAUUGCGCAAAUACUGAACCGUUUGAGAAACAGCAUACACAUAAGUUCGCGGUAAUACGAUCAAAUAUUAUAUAGGUUUAAUACAGUAAGAACAAUAGUGCGUUUUAAUUCGAUGUCAAACAUCGUCAUCUGAUUGAUUUCGUCCUAGCCCGUUGUUGCGAUCACGCCUUAGAAGAGUCUCAAGGAAGUGUGUUAAGUGAGGAAGCAUCAUUUAAGAUUCACGAGCAAUAUUGGUUAAUAUUUCCAGUUUUAUUACAAAAAAUGAAUAUAAUUAGUAUCAUAUAAACUCGUUAUACUACUGAAGGGUUAUAUCGAGGCCGUUCACGUACAAAACACAAAGUGUUGUUGGUACAGUAACAUAACCACACUCAAUAAUUGUGUACAGCGGUCUAUAUAGAUGAAUAGCAAG